GGUGUCUUCGGGUACCAGUAUCAGAUGGCCGUGGAGGUUGAAGACGAUGUCUUCUUUGCAGAUCUAAGCAAGCAGAUUGCCAUGCUAAUUAUGGAUGAUGAGGAAGAAUUCCCAGUGCAGUGUCCACCCCUUCCGGUUCAGGGGCUUCCCUGCAUGCCUCGAACCAUGAUGCUGCCAUCAUCAUAUGGCUACGAGGAGAUGGCCAUCGGAAGGGAGAGAAAAGGAACUGGAGUCUUCAUUCCACUCUCCACUGCACCAAGAAGAAAGAAGAGGCCAAGGAGAUCCACUUGGGUGGACAACCGCAACGACUUCCAUGGGCAGAAGCUGGGCAUGUCUGCGACCGUGGCUUCUCCCAUCACCAUCACCAAACCUCAUCGACCCAAAUCAUUGCAGGAACUCAAGUGUGCUAAAGAGGCACAUAUAGUAAUAUCAAAUGAUCUUUAGCUCAUACUAACUACAGAAAUUAUCAUGGUAAGUUUGUACAGGAGAAUAACACUCUUCCAACUGGUUAUGUGUGUACCUGUGAAGAGGGCCUCAAAUAAGCUUCCAACCUCCUCUGUGGAAUGUAUAAUUCCUGUAAUAGCUAGAAAUGUAUUGGUUGAUGAAUGCAAAGCAUGAAAAAUAAUUAUGUUAUAAAGAGUGUAAUCAAAUCAAAAAUGAAGCGCCAAGCCUUAUCCAUGAAGUUUAGCUUUUUAGAAUUGCAA